rnacentral:rRNA from 1 species
UACAGGGGGUGCAAACGUUGCUCGGAAUUACUGGGCGUAAAGCGUGCGCAGGCGGUUUUGUAAGCCAGAUGUGAAAGCCCCGGGCUCAACCUGGGAAUGGCAUUUGGGACUGCAAGGCUUGAGUGCGGCAGAGGAGACUGGAAUUCCUGGUGUAGCAGUGAAAUGCGUAGAUAUCAGGAGGAAUACCGAUGGCGAAGGCAGGUCUCUGGGCAUUAACUGACGCUGAGGAGCGAAAGCAUGGGGAGCGAACAGG